CCUACAGGUGGCAGCAGUGAGGAAUAUUGGUCAAUGGCCGGAAGGCUGAACCAGCCAAGCCGCGUGAGGGAGGAAGGCGCAGAGCGUCGCAGACCUCUUUUGCCGGGGGACAAAAGGCCGGACGGGUCCGGUUCUGAGGGUACCCGGAGAAAAAGCAUCGGCUAACUCCGUGCCAGCAGCCGCGGUAAUACGGAGGGCGCGAGCGUUAAUCGGAAUUACUGGGCGUAAAGCGCGCGUAGGCUGUUGUGUAAGUUGGGGGUGAAAUCCCACGGCUCAACCGUGGAACAGCCCUUGAUACUGCGCGACUUGAAUCCGGGAGAGGGUGGCGGAAUUCCAGGUGUAGGAGUGAAAUCCGUAGAUAUCUGGAGGAACAUCAGUGGCGAAGGCGGCCACCUGGACCGGUAUUGACGCUGAGGCGCGAAAGCGUGGGGAGCAAACAGGAUUAGAUACCCCAGUAGUC
rnacentral:rRNA from 1 species